CUUAGACUGGCUAUGACAGUUACCUCACUGGUAACAAGGACUGCAGGGAACUUCAAGCAGAAGAAAUACCCAGUAGUGAGCAGAGGCUGUUACCAGAGCAAGCAAGAACUUGACUCACGCUAGGAAAUCCCAGUCCACGUGCCUGGCCCCUGGAUGGAGAAGAAUGAAAGCCUGCUACCAAAUGGAUGAAAAUGAAUGCCCCAGCUAUUCAGCUACACCAUAGUUGUCAUCACUAUCAUGUUGAACAGUCGUAUCCUAAUUGUCGCAUAGACAUCCUG